CUCGUAGGCGGUUCGUCGCGUCCGGUGUGAAAGUCCAUCGCUUAACGGUGGAUCUGCGCCGGGUACGGACGGGCUGGAGUGCGGUAGGGGAGACUGGAAUUCCCGGUGUAACGGUGGAAUGUGUAGAUAUCGGGAAGAACACCAAUGGCGAAGGCAGGUCUCUGGGCCGUUACUGACGCUGAGGAGCGAAAGCGUGGGGAGCGAACA
rnacentral:rRNA from 1 species